rnacentral:rRNA from 1 species
AUCCGAAGUCGCUGCGCUAACCGUAAGGGGGCAGGCGCCGAAGAUGAAACCCGUGAUUGGGACUAAGUCGUAACAAGGUAACCGUAGGUGAACCUGCAGAAGGAUCA